GACGAACCGUGCGAACGUUGUUCGGAUUCACUGGGCUUAAAGGGCGCGUAGGCGGACUCGCAAGUCUGUGGUGAAAGCCCCCAGCUCAACUGGGGAAGUGCCGUGGAUACUGCAAGUCUGGAGGAGGGUAGGGGCAUCUGGAACGCUGGGUGGAGCGGUGAAAUGCGUUGAUAUCCAGCGGAACUCCGGUGGCGAAGGCGAGGUGCUGGACCUCUUCUGACGCUGAGGCGCGAAAGCUAGGGGAGCAAACGGG
rnacentral:rRNA from 1 species